rnacentral:rRNA from 1 species
AGCGAACGCUGGCGGUAGGCCUAACACAUGCAAGUCGAACGAAGUCUUCGGACUUAGUGGCGGACGGGUGAGUAACACGUGGGAACGUGCCUUUAGGUUCGGAAUAACUCAGGGAAACUUGUGCUAAUACCGAAUGUGCCCUUCGGGGGAAAGAUUUAUCGCCUUUAGAGCGGCCCGCGUCUGAUUAGCUAGUUGGUGAGGUAAAGGCUCACCAAGGCUACGAUCAGUAGCUGGUCUGAGAGGAUGACCAGCCACAGUGGGACUGAGACACGGCACAAACGCCUACGGGAGGCAGCAGUGGGGAAUCUUGCGCAAUGGGCGAAAGCCUGACGCAGCCAUGCCGCGUGGAUGAUGAAGGUCUUAGGAUUGUAAAAUCCUUUCACCGGUGAAGAUAAUGACUGUAGCCGGAGAAGAAGCCCCGGCUAACUUCGUGCCAGCAGCCGCGGUAACAC